rnacentral:lncRNA from 1 species
CGACCAUCAUCCUUCGACAGCACCAGCCGACCUUCCACAGAUCCGUUCGGUCUACCCCAACGGACGAACUUCCACAAUGCCUUUCGAAUUAUGCUAUCAGCCAACCUUCUAUCAAAUUCCUCAUGCAAUUGGACCUCUUCGUCGGACAAUCUUCAGACGAGCUUCCACAUCAAGCAAAUCCCAGAUGGACUUCUCUGGCAAUUGGAUUUCUACCGAACUUCACCAAUGAAAAGUCUCCAUCCGAGCUUCUACAGCAGAUGACUCUCGUCUGUAGCAUCAGCGCCCAAGGCAUCCGACAACAGUAGACUCAUCAGCAAUCUCAG